CAGUCGAACGGAGAAUUUUAUUUCGGUAGAAUUCUUAGUGGCGAACGGGUGACUAAUACGUAGGCAACCUACCCUUUAGACGGGGACAACAUUCCGAAAGGAGUGCUAAUACCGGAUGUGAUCAUCGUGCCGCAUGGCAGGAUGAAGAAAGAUGGCCUCUACAAGUAAGCUAUCGCUAAAGGAUGGGCCUGCGUCUGAUUAGCUAGUUGGUAGUGUAACGGACUACCAAGGCGAUGAUCAGUAGCCGGUCUGAGAGGAUGAACGGCCACAUUGGGACUGAGACACGGCCCAAACUCCUACGGGAGGCAGCAGUGGGGAAUCUUCCGCAAUGGACGAAAGUCUGACGGAGCAACGCCGCGUGAGUGAUGAAGGAUUUCGGUCUGUAAAGCUCUGUUGUUUAUGACGAACGUGCAGUGUGUGAACAAUGCAUUGCAAUGACGGUAGUAAACGAGGAAGCCACGGCUAACUACGUGCCAGCAGCCGCGGUAAUACGUAGGUGGCGAGCGUUGUCCGGAAUUAUUGGGCGUAAAGAGCAUGUAGGCGGCUUAAUAAGUCGAGCGUGAAAAUGCGGGGCUCAACCCCGUAUGGCGCUGGAAACUGUUAGGCUUGAGUGCAGGAGAGGAAAGGGGAAUUCCCAGUGUAGCGGUGAAAUGCGUAGAUAUUGGGAGGAACACCAGUGGCGAAGGCGCCUUUCUGGACUGUGUCUGACGCUGAGAUGCGAAAGCCAGGGUAGCGAACGGGAUUAGAUACCCCGGUAGUCCUGGCCGUAAACGAUGGGUACUAGGUGUAGGAGGUAUCGACCCCUUCUGUGCC
rnacentral:rRNA from 1 species